UAGGGAAUCUUCGGCAAUGGACGGAAGUCUGACCGAGCAACGCCGCGUGAGUGAAGAAGGUUUUCGGAUCGUAAAGCUCUGUUGUAAGAGAAAAACGAGUGUGAGAGUGGAAAGUUCACACUGUGACGGUAUCUUACCAGAAAGGGACGGCUAACUACGUGCCAGCAGCCGCGGUAAUACGUAGGUCCCGAGCGUUGUCCGGAUUUAUUGGGCGUAAAGCGAGCGCAGGCGGUUAGAUAAGUCUGAAGUUAAAGGCUGUGGCUUAACCAUAGUAGGCUUUGGAAACUGUUUAACUUGAGUGCAAGAGGGGAGAGUGGAAUUCCAUGUGUAGCGGUGAAAUGCGUAGAUAUAUGGAGGAACACCGGUGGCGAAAGCGGCUCUCUGGCUUGUAACUGACGCUGAGGCUCGAAAGCGUGGGGAGCAAACAGGAUUAGAUACCCUGGUAGUCCACGCUGUAAACGAUGAGUGCUAGGUGUUAGACCCUUUCCGGGGUUUAGUGCCGUAGCUAACGCAUUAAGCACUCCGCCUGGGGAGUACGACCGCAAGGUUG
rnacentral:rRNA from 1 species